rnacentral:lncRNA from 1 species
UUUUUGGAUUGGAUGUACAAUCUAUGAAAUUAAUGGAAGAAAUGAAGAAAAUAGAGAGGAUUUAAGAAGAGAAAAUGGAGAGAAAUGAAAAAUUAGGGAAGAUAAACAGACUGAUACGCUUUCAAAAUCUGAUUUCACACUAUCCAGACGUUCGGCACAUUUUUCUGGACGUCCAAAUGGCAGAGCUUUAAACUCUUUGUCAACUGAACAGGCACACUGGACUGUAUGUUAGACUGCCCGGUUGCAGUAAUUCUUCUAUCUGGACGUCCUUUUUUUUUUAAAUUAAUCAUAAAAGAAAUGUUAUUCUAAUUAUGCACAUCAUUUUGUCAAUAAUUCCUAAACUCCUCGAAUGUGUGGAAAAUGAUCAAGAACUAGAAAUUUGGUGAAGAUGUUGGCCAAUUGGUUCUUCAUGUCAAUAAAUUCUAACCUGACAUUAAAUAAAUCGAAUUGUGUAGGAAGAGAAAUCAAAACCAAAUGCAUGAACAAGUCAUCGGAAAGUUUAAACUUUAACGCCUUUAGUUUUAAUGUAAGAUGAAACUUAUCCAUGAUGUACUCCCUUAUGUUUUAUUUAGCGUUAUACUUUAGUGAAAUCAAGUUCGUUAGAUGCAUGCUAUUUUUGGUCUUAUUACCUCUUGGAAAGUGUUAUUUAAUUUCUUUAAGAAAUUCCUUUGUAGUAGUUACCUUAUCGUACACAGGGCCCCUGAAUGUUGCUGGAAUUCCAUACUUCAUGAUCAUAAGACUUACGCGGUUUGAAUGAUCCUACUUAUCCGAGUCCCACUUUUUUAGUGGAGCUCUUAUCCAUUAGAGUAGUGUAUUGUUCAGUCCUUAAUGUAAAGUCUAGAUCCAUGCCGUCAAGAACGAUACAAACGUUCUCUUUCCAGCCUUUAAACUUUUGUUCAAAGACAGGAAUUGAAUUGAUGUUGGCAAAUAUUGUAGAAGUUGAUGGAUUAACUAAAUAGAGAAUUUAAAUCUAAUUAAUAAGUUCACAUGGGAAUCCAUAUUGAGCAAUCAAUAAGUUCAAAUAAUGGUGGGUCUCAUAACAAGAGAUCGGUAGCAACAUUGACAUUUAGUCUUUGGACAAAAUAUCUACUUGUAAGUUGUACUCUUGGUGUAGCAAUUAAAUAUUGACUAUAAACCAUGUCAAAUAUUAAGUCUAUCUUCGAAUCGACUCAAUGUUCACAUUAAAAAAAAAAUAUUAUAAUUGUCGCAUAAUUAUUACCGUAUAUGUGCAAAUAACUCGGCUAAAUAUUGACCUUCCUUUGGGCUGAUUAAUAAUUGAAUGAAUUACGUACAGUCAACCUUUCUAAGGUUCCAAA